CAUAUUCAGUAUUUGGAUAUAACCGCGAAUUUAAGUCUGACUGUGAGUACUUGGAUUAUCUAUGUUACAAAAGUAUAGUCUGAGCACUUGGAUUUUUUUUUCACCUGUUCAACGUUGAAUUUCAGUACCCUGAAUUAAUGUAACAAAGAAUUCUUUCAAUAUCAGGGGCAAGAUAUAGGUACUGUACCCAACUUUUUCUCAUGAUAUUUUACAUUAUUGCUUUUGACCCAUGGCGUAAAAUCUGUCUUGAUAAAUGUCUGGUUAAGUGCGCAGGUGGUGUUGGUUCCUCUAUUUUUUUUCAUCUUAUUACGAUGAUGUCGUUUCCCCUCUGUUGACCUAUUGCCAAACUAUACCAUACAUUAGUUUGAAUGAAGGUUUUGCAAAAAAAUGUUAUCUGUUUUAGUUUUCCCAGGUGUGUAUUCAGUGCACUUGCAGUUGGGGUUGAGCCAAACUAAUCUUAGAUCAGUUCUGCAUCAAUUCUUAUAUUGUCCCCAAAAUUAUGGAACUAUAUAUGUUUUAUCAUAGGUUUACUUAUCAGUGUUGCAGAUAUUUUUGGUAAUAUGGAGCUCAAGGAAGGUGUCAAAUCUCACGUACUGGCUACUCAUAUCGCACCAUUGACAUGCUUAGAAGGAAGACCAUUGCACCUCUCAAAGGAAACAGAACUAGAUAUACUGUAGUGAGGAUAUAAUAAACAUGUGUGUAAUAAGGGAAAAUGUGAGGUCAAGAAGAACAUGGAUCUCUCUAAUUCAGACCUUCCAGUGAUGGUUCAACAUAUAUAUCCCUCUGCAAGAAUUUCUAUGAUCCUGCCACUAGAGCAGGUUAGUUAGCUGACGUACCAUUUUAAUUUAGUUACUGCUAUAUUUGAUGGUAAAGUGAAUGUAUGUUGCAUGCCUGAAAAAGUUGCCUUCAAGUACGAAGCUCAUGGUUGUUAUACUAAAGGAAACUGAUGCUUUGAAAAAGAACAAGGAAAAGCAUAUGUGUGAAAAUGAUGAAGUUGAUCAUAGCAAGUGGACAGAGGUGCCCAGAGCUAACCUUAUAGCAACCAUUCAUGUUAUUUGCUAGUCGAGGAGGGUUCGCCGGGGUGGCAGCAAACUGAUAUGCACUUUCUUCGGUAAUAUUGAUUAACAUGAACAUUGGUCCUCAAAUUAAUAUUUUAUUUUCUCAUUGUUAAAUUCUGUAGGUGUAUCAUUGCAAAAUGAGCAUUUGAGUAUGAGGAACAUCCCAGAAAAUCCAUGGCAAGAUCAACUCUCGGUUUGGAAUCUUAGAAGCUCAGAUUUUUAGUGUUGCACGGUUCAGGAAAGGGCUUUCAUUUGGGUUGCUGCUUUGACUCUUUCUAGCUUGCUAGGACUAAUGCAUGUGUUUGCUAGCCAUGAAUUGAAAAUAAAAUUACCUAUUUGUAAAUAAUAUGCGACUGCCAAAAGCACUGUUGGUGGGGCACCUUUCCAUGCAAUAAUUGUUAGAGAUAUAAUUGGGGAUUUGCCAGAAGUGAAAAAUGGUUCAUGUAAACUCAUACUUGAGAUAAUUGGAGUCGCAACUGUCUCUUGCCUCCAGAAGAAGAUAAGAGGUAGUAUGAUUGCAUUGAGUGAUCACAUGUCAAAGCAGAUGACCAAGGUAAACCAUCUCAGAUAUGGAAAUGCAUUCCAACGUGACCUAGCCGUGACUGGCAUGACCAACCAGAUGAGAAGAUAAUGUUACCGUCUUCUACUUUACAGUUGCAUUUGUUUUGUUUCUGUCAAUCUCAGUCUACGCCUUCCUUUUGUCCAUGAGAUUUUAAUUCUCGAAACCUGUGUGUAAGUUGAGCUCUCGAAAAAUGGUGGACAUGAUUCAAAGGCACAACCAGUGGAAAGGGCUCUUUGGGAGGCUGGUUUCUUAGGGAAAUUCGAGGCAGGGUUGUCACAGUCCGCGCAUAGUCUCAUGUAAGCUAAGAUGUUGUAGGUCCAUCCCUAUCUGCAUACAAAUACCCUACACAUCUUCAAGGUACUGCAGAGGAUGGUAGAAAAUUUGUUUUGAUCUUAUCCAUAUGUGCAGGGAUUUCCAAACAGCUACCAGUUUGUCGGGCCAUCCAGAGCAAGCACAAGCAGUUUGGCAAUGUCGUGCCUCCCCCUAUUGCCUUUGCACUUGGGAGGAUGUUGAAGGAAGCCAUUGACGCGGAGCGCUAAAUGCAUACAUGUGUCCAACAGAAACAUCUGUAGCGACCCGUUUGGUUGCUCGGAUGAACCUUCAAAAGCAUGAUGAUUUUUUUAUCUGUAUCAAGGCUGGUUUGUGCACACCAAGACCAAUCAGUUGGCAUUGAUUAGAUGGUUAAACUGAAUACUAAUUUUCUGACAGUUGAGAUGGUUCCAAAUGGAGUACAUAGAAACUAGCAGUUGCAGUUGCUGAUUGUGUUGUCUCCAGGCCAAGGCAAGUAGGGAAGCGCCUCAUAUGAACAACUUCUUCAUUGACAUUCUUGAAGUGCACGGUAUGUGCUGCUGGCGUUCACCUUCAAUGAGUGGUUCUGUGAUAACUCUUGCAGUUUUCUGUCAUAGAGCUUAUGCAAUUAUCUGUACAACAUUUUUUCAUAUCUCGUGCAUGAAGGUCUAUCACGAAUGACCUACUGUUGUAUCAA